UGCGUAGGCGGCCUAUUAAGUCAGUGGUGAAAGGUAUCAGCUUAACUGAUGACGUGCCAUUGAAACUGAUGGGCUUGAGUACAGACGAGGUAGGCGGAAUUUAUGGUGUAGCGGUGAAAUGCAUAGAUACCAUAAAGAACACCGAUAGCGAAGGCAGCUUACUAGGCUGAGACUGACGCUGAGGCACGAAAGCGUGGGGAGCGAACAGGAUUAGAUACCCUGGUAGUCC
rnacentral:rRNA from 1 species